AGGUGGUCUGAGAAAUUCUUAUGAAAAGGACAACGUUAAAGCUCAACUCCAUGCUGGUUAUCAUUUAUUGAACCCAAGUCCUGUGAUGUAUGCCAAGCGUUUGUUGUAUUUUAACUUAAUGGAUUGUUAAAAAAAUAUAAUAAUAAUUACCACAAGAGGGCAGUAUUUUUUAGAAGUAACAAAUGGGACAGGCAUAUGUGAGGACGACUCAUUUGACAGGUGGAGGUCCUUCUGGAGUCCAAAAAUGACGGCUGUGUGAUUUCCUAAAGCUUUCCAAAACUUUCUUCACGAAGAGACCACCCCGACUAGUCUACAUUCGAUUCCCCCAAAUUGGGAACUCCCGAUCAUCAGGUUCCCUCCUACAGCAGACCAAGCCUUGGUGGGGUUUGGUGAGAAGCCUCCACAAUGACUCGGUGAAUUCUGCGCUCAGCAUUUGAUCUGACCCGAUGCGCCGGUCAGAUGUCCAAGUGGAAAGAAUUCCUAAGG